rnacentral:rRNA from 1 species
UACGAAGGGUGCUAGCGUUGUUCGGAUUUACUGGGCGUAAAGCGCAUGUAGGCGGGUCGUUAAGUUGGGGGUGAAAUCCCGAGGCUCAACCUCGGAACUGCCUUCAAAACUGGCGACCUGGAGCGUGAUAGAGGCGAGUGGAAUUCCGAGUGUAGAGGUGAAAUUCGUAGAUAUGCGGAGGAACACCAGUGGCGAAGGCGACUCACUGGAUCAUUGCUGACGCUGAGAUGCGAAAGCGUGGGGAGCAAACAGG